rnacentral:rRNA from 1 species
UCAAAUGAAUUGACGGGGAGCACCACAACGGGUGGAGCUUGCGGUUUAAUUGGAUUCAACGCCGGAAAUCUUACCGGGACCGACAGCGAUAUGAAGGCCAGGCUGAAGACUUUGCCGGAUUAGCUGAGAGGUGGUGCAUGGCCGUCGUCGGUUCGUACUGUGAAGCAUCCUGUUAAGUCAGGCAACGAGCGAGACCCACGCCCACAGUUGCCAGCGUACUCUCCGGAGUGACGGGUACACUGUGGGGACCGCCGCUGCUAAAGCGGAGGAAGGAAUGGGCAACGGUAGGUCAGUAUGCCCCGAAUAUCCCGGGCUACACGCGAGCUACAAUGGUUGGUACAAUGGGUAUCUACCCCGAAAGGGGAUGGAAAUCUCCUAAAGCCAAUCUUAGUCCGGAUUGAGGGCUGCAACUCGCCCUCAUGAAGCUGGAAUCCGUAGUAAUCGCGUUUCAACAGAACGCGGUGAAUACGUCCCUGCUCCUU